rnacentral:rRNA from 1 species
AUGUUCUGGCGCAAAAAAAACAAACAUCAAGUACUAUGUAUGCACCAUCAUACAAGACAUUUGCCAAGCCAGUAUUUUCAGGUCCACUACACCAAAGAGAAUCCGAUGGACUACAUUAACCUGGAUGAUGAUACACUGAAGAUCAGGCUUGCUGACGGCAAUGUGCAUGAUGAUUAUCGCAUCAUGCUGGGAACUGACAAGAGGGCCACCAUCACCUGCCACCGUGCACACAUCCGCGAAGGAGACAUCUGCGCCUUCCGCUUCAAGGUCACCGAAAAUGCCGCCUUUCUCUCACCGUGCCAUCGCCUCUAG